GGGGGGGGGGGGGGGGGGGGGGGGGGGGGGGGGGGGGGGGGGGGGGGGGGGGGGGGGGGGGGGGGGGGGGGUCUCUGAGAUUCAUCUGCAGAAAAUCCCAAAAUCUCUCUGAGUUUCAAAGAGAAAAUCUCAGGAUCUCUCUGAUACUCAAACAGGAAAUCCUGGGAAAUCUGAGAUUUAUCCAUAGAAAAUCUUGGGGAAUCUGGGAGAUUUAUCCAUAAAAAAUCCCAGGAUCCCUCUGAGAUUCAAACAGAAAAUGUUAGAGCCUAGAAUUGUGUUUUUUAGAGCGUAUUCCCCAAAAUGAGCUCGUAAAAUCCUGGGAAAUCUCUGAGAUUUAUCCAUUAAAAUCUUGGGAUCCCUCUGAGAUUCAAACAGAAAAUCCCAAAAUCUCUCUAAAUUUCAAAGAGAAAAUCCCAGGAUCCCUCUGGGAUUCUGGGAUGGAAGAUUAAUACACACACACACACACACAAAAAUACAAAAAAAAGCCAUUUUUGCCUCAGGGUUCCUCCCUUUUUUGCCCCUUGGAGAAGCAAGAGUUGGGAAUUCCAGGAGAACGGGGUGCUGAGGGAAAAAUGCCAAAAAAUGACUUUGCUGGGAAUGUUGCACUUUGGGCUGUGCAGGAGAGGAUGAGUUCAGUUCCCAAAUUUGGGAGAGGCUGAAAAAUCCCAUGGGAUGAGCUUGGAUUGUUUUCCUUGCUGGAUUCCAGAAUUGCCAUCUGAAAGAAGUUCCAAAAGCAGGAAAAAAAAAAUAAAAAACAACUUUAAGGACAUUUUCUUUGGGGGGGGGGGGGGGGGGGGGGGGGGGGGGGGGGAAAAAAAAAAAAAAAAAAACAACUUUAAGGACAUUUUCUUUUUAUUUUUUUUCCCUUCUGGAAUCACUGCUGGGAUGGAGAAGGAAAAUCCCUCACAUCCAAUGCUGUGCUUCCAUAGAAAAAACAGAACUUCCAUCAUUUCUGCUCCCUCAUUUUUCCUUUUAAUCCCAAAUUUCUGUUCCAUAAUCAUGGAGAGACCUCCCAGAAACUCCAGGAAUGUGAAGAGAACUGGAAAAGCAGAGGAGAACAUGCACAGGGUCUUUCCCAGUCCUCUGGCUGGAGCUGCUGAAUUCCAGUCAGAAUUCCCUGGAUUUGGGGCAGAAUUUUGGAGCAGAAUCUUUCACUGGACCUUCAGAAAUUCCCAAAUAUCUUAUUUUGGUAAAGGAUGUUUUUGGAGCUGAUAAAUCAAAGUUUGGGGAGAGUUUAAAUCCAAAUCUUGGUUGGUUUUGGGUGAGGGAUGAGAAAAUUCAGGGCUGGAAUUGGGAUUUUAAAAUUGACCCUGCCAGAGCCUGAAUUUCCUGUGCUGAGCUGCCCAAAUCUCCAAUUUCAGGAUUAAAUUUAAAAUUAAAAAAAAAGUCCCGUGGGACUUGGAAAUAUCCAGGCAGAAGUGCCAGAGUCUCUAAUCCAGCAAGGGGGGAAAAAAGGAAAAAGAAAAAGGUAUUGAGAUGUAAUAAAAUCGGGGAAAAAAUAAAAUCAGGAAAAGAAUUAAAUAACAAAAAAUCAGGGAAAGGAUAAAAUCAGAAAAAAAAAAAUAAAUAAAACCGGGGGGGAAAAACAGGAAAAAAAUAAAAUGGGGAAAAAAAAAUCAGGGAAAAAAUAAAAUAGAGGGGAAAAAAUAUUAGAGUAAAAUGUUAGAUUUGGGGGGGGGGGGGGGGGGGGGGGGGGGGGGGGGG
rnacentral:lncRNA from 1 species